UACGUAGGGCGCGAGCGUUGUCCGGAAUUAUUGGGCGUAAAGAGCUCGUAGGCGGUUUGUCGCGUCUGCUGUGAAAACCCGAGGCUCAACCUCGGGCCUGCAGUGGGUACGGGCAGACUAGAGUGCGGUAGGGGAGAUUGGAAUUCCUGGUGUAGCGGUGGAAUGCGCAGAUAUCAGGAGGAACACCGAUGGCGAAGGCAGAUCUCUGGGCCGAUACUGACGCUGAGGAGCGAAAGCGUGGGGAGCGAACAGG
rnacentral:rRNA from 1 species